UACGUAGGUGGCGAGCGUUGUCCGGAUUUAUUGGGCGUAAAGCGCGCGCAGGCGGUUCGCUCCGUCCGGUGUGAAAUCUCCCGGCUCACCUGGGAGGGGGCGGCUGGAGACUGGCGAACUGGAGGCAGGGAGAGGUCGGUGGAAUUCCCGGUGUAGUGGUGAAAUGCGUAGAGAUCGGGAGGAACACCAGUGGCGAAAGCGGCCGACUGGACCUGUCCUGACGCUGAGGCGCGAAAGCGUGGGGAGCGAACCGGG
rnacentral:rRNA from 1 species